AUACCGAGGUGGCAAGCGUUGUUCGGAAGUAUUGGGCGUAAAGAGCACGUAGGUGGAUUUGUUAGUCAGAUGCGAAAGCCUUUUGUUCAACGGAAGAAUUGCAUCUGAAACUACAAACCUUGAGUAUAGGAGGGGAGAGUGGAACUUCUGGUGGAGCGGUGAAAUGCGUAGAUAUCAGAAGGAACGCCGGCGGCGAAAGCGACUCUCUGGCCUAUAACUGACACUGAGUGUGCGAAAGCUAGGGGAGCAAACGGGAUUAGAUACCCGAGUAGUCC
rnacentral:rRNA from 1 species